rnacentral:rRNA from 1 species
GGCGAACGCUGGCGGCGUGCCUAAUACAUGCAAGUAGAACGCACAGUUUAUACCGUAGCUUGCUCCACCAUAAACUGUGAGUUGCGAACGGGUGAGUAACGCGUAGGUAACCUGCCUGGUAGCGGGGGAUAACUAUUGGAAACGAUAGCUAAUACCGCAUAAUAUUAAUUAUUGCAUGAUAAUUGAUUGAAAGAUGCAAUUGCAUCACUACCAGAUGGACCUGCGUUGUAUUAGCUAGUAGGUGAGGUAACGGCUCACCUAGGCGACGAUACAUAGCCGACCUGAGAGGGUGAUCGGCCACACUGGGACUGAGACGCGGCCCAGACUCCUACGGGAGGCAGCAGUAGGGAAUCUUCGGCAAUGGACGAAAGUCUGACCGAGCAACGCCGCGUGAGUGAAGAAGGUUUUCGGAUCGUAAAGCUCUGUUGUAAGAGAAGAACGGGUGUGAGAGUGGAAAGUUCACACUGUGACGGUAUCUUACCAGAAAGGGACGGCUAACUACGUG